ACCCCGCACAAGCGGUGGAUCAUGUUGUUUAAUUCGAUGAUACGCGAAGAACCUUACCAGGUCUUGACAUCCCCCGCGAUGCUUUAGAGAUAAAGCGGAGGUAUUCGGGGAGACAGGUGGUGCAUGGUUGUCGUCAGCUCGUGUCGUGAGAUGUUGGGUUAAGUCCCGCAACGAGCGCAACCCCUAUUGCUAGUUACCAUCAUUAAGUUGGGGACUCUAGCGAGACUGCCAGUGAUAAACUGGAGGAAGGUGGGGAUGACGUCAAAUCAUCAUGCCCCUUAUGACCUGGGCUACAAACGUGAUACAAUGGCUGGAACAAAGGGAUGCGAAGCAGUGAUGUGGAGCGAAACCCAUAAAAACAGUCUCAGUUCGGAUUGAAGUCUGCAACUCGACUUCAUGAGGUCGGAAUCGCUAGUAAUCGCGGAUCAGAACGCCGCGGUGAAUACGUUCUCGGGGUUU
rnacentral:rRNA from 1 species